UUAGAUUUAAAUUUAGUUAUUUAAUACCUUGGUAAAUGGGAUUUUCAAUAUUUAAUAAAUUAUCAGUUUUAAAAUCUCAUGUAAUAAGUUACGGCAUUGCAACGAUUGACAUCGCUUUCACAAAGUGCAAAUUUAAUAGAUAAACGCACAUGUUACAUAUAAUAUAUUUAUAUUUAAGAAGAUUAGCAAUUUAAAUAACAUCGUAUUGCAUAGGAUAAUGACGAAGUUACUGGAAUGGGUUUCUGCAGCAUCAGCAUUCUUUGCAAUAUGGUACUCUUUGAUUGGUGGAUAUGUGAAACAUCCAAUGAUUGAAAAUAAUAUGGAUGUAAUUCUUAUUUCACCUAUUUUCUUUUUAAUACUUUUUGGGGUUUAUGCUGUAACAGUUGUUUUAUACCGAGUAUUUACUUUUAAUAAUUGUGAGGCAGCAUUUUUGGAACUACAGAAGCAGAUUAAAGAAGCUAAUACAGAACUAACUGCAAAAGGAUUGAAAUGGUAGCUUGUAAGUAUACUAAAUAAAGUUUUUAUUGUUUAUAAAAAAUA